GAACCUACUUAGUGAUAAGUAGCUGAAUUAAGAGAAGUCAGCCGAAGUCAUAGUAUCAACCUUACGGUUGAGAAGGAC
rfam:Bacillus sp. OV166 genome assembly, contig: Ga0115450_11